AUGGGGAUGGGGGAUAGGGCCAGGGAUGGGAACAGGGAUAGGGGCAGGGAUAGGGAUGGGGACAUGCACACGGAUGGGAAUGGGGACAGGGAUACGGAUGGGGACAGGGAUAGGCGCAGGGACACAGAGCCAGGCGCCCCGCGGGGCCUUUAUUCAGACGAUGAGGACGGGGCCGCUGUAGGUAGCGGGGGCCGUCGGAGCUUCCCCUUCCGCCGUGAAGUAGCCGAAGAGCGCCCGCACCCCGGCCUUGAGCCCCGGCUGCAGCCCCAGCCCCAGGCCCAUGGCCACGGGGCCGCCGGCACCGGCGGUGAGGGCGGCCAGGCCGGCGUAGCCCAGGUCCUGGGCCACCUCCAGGGCCCGCUCGGAGGCCAGGACCUCGCAGCCCUGGAAGGCGAAGUAGAUGCUGGUGCCCAGGUUGUAGAACAAGCUGACGCCCGGCACCCAAUCCAGCACCCCGUGGGCCUCCUGCUCCCCCGGCGGGCUGCAGGCAUCGUCCUCGCCGUCCCGCCGGGCCCGGGCUGCGCGGCGGCACCGAGGGGGCCAGGCACGGGCCCCACGGCGCCCCGGGGCCGGCACCCCAUGCAGCGGCGGCGGCGGGGUGCCGGCCCUGGGGCCGCAGGGCCCAGCCGGGCCAGGGUGCCCCAAGUGCACCAGGCUGAAGAGCAGGGGCAGGGCGCGGGGGCUGGGGGUGUCACGGAGCCCCGCCAGCCCCCGCAGCAGGGCGGUGGCCGCGGGCGUUCCCAGCUCCCGGUACAGCCCCAGCACCGUUGCCUCGGCCUCGGGGCCGCACGCGGCUCCGCUCAGCGCCAGGGCCAGGGCGGCGCGGGCCAGGGCGCGGGGCAGCGGGGGGAGCCGGGAGAAGCCGGGCAGGGCCUCAGGGUGCAGGUCCCGGCAGGAGACCCCGCGCCCCCGCAGCGCCCGGGGGGGGGCCAGCUCUGCCAGCAGCCCCCGCGCAUCCGCCUCCAGCGGGGUGGGGACGUGGCUGCUGCCGCCCCCCAGGCCCAGGAGGAAGAGGAGGAGGAGGAGGAAGAGCAGAGCCUGGGGCAUGGCGGCAGCUCCAGGACAGCCUGUGGAGGCAGGAGAGGGGGCAGAGCUGUCAGCCCCCUGCAGCCGCAGCCCCUCCGCGCCCCCCCAGCACCCCAGCUCACCCCCUUGCGUCCGCUGGCGUCCCCUCGCCCCUCUGCUGCCACCGCUGCUGCGGCCAAGCCCCCCGUGGCCCGUUUAUAG
rnacentral:lncRNA from 1 species